rnacentral:rRNA from 1 species
UACGUAGGGGGCUAGCGUUGUCCGGAAUCAUUGGGCGUAAAGAGCGUGUAGGCGGCCCGGUAAGUCCGCUGUAAAAGUCAAAGGCUCAACCUUUGAAUGUCAGUGGAUACUGUCGGGCUAGAGUCCGGAAGAGGCGAGUGGAACUCCUGGUGUAGCGGUGGAAUGCGCAGAUAUCGGGAAGAACACCAGUGGCGAAGGCGCUCUACUGGGCCACAACUGACGCUGAGGGACGAAAGCUAGGGGAGCGAAAGGG